rnacentral:rRNA from 2 species
UGGGGAAUAUUGGACAAUGGGGGGAACCCUGAUCCAGCCAUGCCGCGUGUGUGAAGAAGGCCUUAUGGUUGUAAAGCACUUUAAGCGAGGAGGAGGGUACUGGUAUUAAUACUACCAGCUACUGGACGUUACUCGCAGAAUAAGCACCGGCUAACUCUGUGCCAGCAGCCGCGGUAAUACAGAGGGUGCGAGCGUUAAUCGGAUUUACUGGGCGUAAAGCGUGCGUAGGCGGCUAAUUGAGUCGGAUGUGAAAUCCCCGAGCUUAACUUGGGAAUUGCAUUCGAUACUGGUUAGCUAGAGUGUGGGAGAGGAUGGUAGAAUGCCAGGUGUAGCGGUGAAAUGCGUAGAGAUCUGGAGGAAUACCGAUGGCGAAGGCAGCCAUCUGGCCUAACACUGACGCUGAGGUACGAAAGCAUGGGGAGCAAACAGG